AUUGAACGCUGGCGGCAUGCCUUACACAUGCAAGUCGAACGGUAACAGGUUAAGCUGACGAGUGGCGAACGGGUGAGUAAAGUAUCGGAACGUGCCCAGUUGUGGGGGAUAACUACUCGAAAGAGUGGCUAAUACCGCAUGAGACCUGAGGGUGAAAGCGGGGGAUCGCAAGACCUCGCGCGAUUGGAGCGGCCGAUAUCAGAUUAGGUAGUUGGUGGGGUAAGAGCCUACCAAGCCGACGAUCUGUAGCUGGUCUGAGAGGACGACCAGCCACACUGGGACUGAGACACGGCCCAGACUCCUACGGGAGGCAGCAGUGGGAAUUUUGGACAAUGGACGCAAGUCUGAUCCAGCCAUGCCGCGUGCGGGAAGAAGGCCUUCGGGUUGUAAACCGCUUUUGUCAGGGAAGAAACGUGCUGGGUUAAUACCCUGGUGUAAUGACGGUACCUGAAGAAUAAGCACCGGCUAACUACGU
rnacentral:rRNA from 1 species